GAUGAACGCUGGCGGCGUGCCUAAUACAUGCAAGUCGAGCGAACAGACGAGGAGCUUGCUCCUCUGACGUUAGCGGCGGACGGGUGAGUAACACGUGGAUAACCUACCUAUAAGACUGGGAUAACUUCGGGAAACCGGAGCUAAUACCGGAUAAUAUAUUGAACCGCGUGGUUCAAUAGUGAAAGACGGUUUUGCUGUCACUUAUAGAUGGAUCCGCGCCGCAUUAGCUAGUUGGUAAGGUAACGGCUUACCACGGCAACGAUGCGUAGCCGACCUGAGAGGGUGAUCGGCCACACUGGAACUGAGACACGGUCCAGACUCCUACGGGAGGCAGCAGUAGGGAAUCUUCCGCAAUGGGCGAAAGCCUGACGGAGCAACGCCGCGUGAGUGAUGAAGGUCUUCGGAUCGUAAAACUCUGUUAUUAGGGAAGAACAAAUGUGUAAGUAACUAUGCACGUCUUGACGGUACCUAAUCAGAAAGCCACGGCUAACUACGUG
rnacentral:rRNA from 1 species